GAUGAACGCUGGCGGCGUGCUUAAUACAUGCAAGUCGAGCGAACGGACGAUAAGCUUGCUGCUUGGUUGUUAGCGGAGGACGGGUGAGUAACACGUGGAAAAUCCACCUAUCAGACGGGUAUAACUUCGGGAAACGGGAGAUUAUACCGGAUAAGAUCCUGAACCGCAUGGUUGAAUAGUGAAAUACGGUCGUGGUGUCACUUAUAGAUGCAUCCGCGCUGCAUUAGCUAGUUGGUAAGUUAACGGCCUACGAAGGCAACGAUGCAUAGACGAGCUGAGAGGGUGAUCGGCGACCCUGGAGCUGAGACACCGUCCAGACUCCUACGGGACGCAGCAGUCGCGAAUCUUACGCAAUGGGCGAAAGCAUGACGGAGCGACGGCGCGUGAGUGACAGAAGUCUUCCGAUCGUAAAGCUCUGUUAUUAGGGGAAAACAUAUGUGUAAGUAGCUGUGCACUGAUUGACGGUACCUAGUCAGAAAGCCACGGCUAACUACGUG
rnacentral:rRNA from 1 species